rnacentral:tRNA from 1 species
GGGGCUGUAGCUCAGCUGGCAGAGCGUUUCGUUCGCAACGAAAAGGCCACCGGUUCGACUCCGGUCAGCUCCA